CGGGAGGCAGCAGUGGGGAAUAUUGCACAAUGGGGGAAACCCUGAUGCAGCGACGCCGCGUGAAGGAAGAAGUAUCUCGGUAUGUAAACUUCUAUCAUCAGGGAAGAUAGUGACGGUACCUGACUAAGAAGCCCCGGCUAACUACGUGCCAGCAGCCGCGGUAA
rnacentral:rRNA from 1 species